rnacentral:rRNA from 1 species
CAGCCGCCACGGUAAUACAUAGGAUGCAAGCGUUAUCCAGAAUGAUUGGGCGUAAAGCAUCUUUAGGUGGCUUUUCAAGUCCGUCGUCAAAUCCCAGGGCUCAGCCCUGGACAGGCGGUGGAAACUACUAAGCUGGAGUACGAUAGGGGCAGAGGGAAUUUCCGGUGGAGCAGUGAGAUGCGUUGAGAUUGGAAAGAACACCAACGGCGAAAGCACUCUGUUGGGCCGACACUGACACUGUGAGACGAAAGCUAAGGGAGCAAAUGGGAUUAGAUACCCCUGUAGUCCCUGUCUCUUAUAC